rnacentral:misc_RNA from 1 species
GGUGGAGAACAAGUUGGUACACUCUCCAUUAAUCACUUAUGGAUCAAUGCUCAGUCUUCUAUCUUUCACACCACCUUUUGUAAUCCUCAUGUGGUAUACAAAUGUGCACGCUGAUGGGUCUAUCUUGAAAACGUUCAAUCAUCUAAGGGAAAAUGGUUUGCAAGGAUUAAUUGAUAUUUGGCCAAAACCUACUGCAAUUGCUGGGAAGCUAAUCAUUUGUUAUGCUCUAUUUGAGGCGGCACUACAGCUUCUAUUGCCUGGUAAAACAGUCGAAGGCCCAAUAUCUCCAACUGGACAUAGGCCUGUCUAUAAGGCUAAUGGCAUGGCAGCAUAUGCAGUGACACUGAUCACAUAUAUCAGUCUCUGGUGGUUUGGAAUAUUUAAUCCUGCAAUUGUUUAUGACCAUCUGGGCGAGAUUUUCUCUACACUUAUUUUUGGGAGUUUAGUCUUCUGUGUUUUAUUGUACAUUAAAGGUCAUGUUGCACCAUCUUCCACUGAUUCCGGCUCAUCAGGGAACAUAAUAGUUGACUUCUAUUGGGGUAUGGAGCUUUAUCCUCGUAUCGGGAAACACUUCGAUAUUAAAGUCUUCACAAACUGCAGAUUUGGUAUGAUGUCUUGGGCAGUUCUUGCUGUCACGUAUUGCAUAAAACAGCAUGAAGAAUAUGGGCGUGUAUCUGAUUCCAUGCUUGUAAAUACGAUAUUGAUGUUGGUGUAUGUCACAAAAUUCUUUUGGUGGGAAGCUGGGUACUGG